AGGAUUUGUAGUACACAGAGUGACUAUGACAAACAAGCCGACUGUCUGGAUGAGUGUUUCAGAAAGUGGGGUUACCCAGAGGAAUGGCUGCAUGACGCAAGGGAUCGUUAUAAAAAUACAGUGGUGGAAAAAAGUAACCAAAUCGUGACUACAACUAAGUUACUAAGUCUUUAACCACACUAUGUUACACUGUCAGCAGAUGGACUAGAUGCUGCUUAGGCCGCCGGUUGUGACUCCGUCAAGAAUUCAUCAGAGCAAGUUUGAAUGAAGGUCUGGUUAUUAAAUGGGUACAUAGUCCAAUAGUAAUAUCCUCUAAACCCCUCUGGUGAUGAACUUUGCUGCCCUGUUUCCAGUUAUCCACAUUUCUGGGAGAACCUCUUCAAGUAAGUAAGUAAAUAGAUUUUGAAAAUGUAAAAAAAAAAACGAUGUAUUAUUAGCUAACUAGCUACAGUGGAGGCUAACUCAAAUGAGCUGCUCAAUGAGCUAUCUAGUUGGCUAUCUAACUAACUUCAAAUACUGUAUAGAUAGAUAGCUAUGUUAAUUAAAUAUCACCUGUUACCUAACAUCAUAUUAGCUAUCUUGUUGUAUUUAUCACUGUAAAAAACAAACUCCAAAUGCAUUUGUAGGUAGCUAGCUAACAGCCAUGGAGGGUGAAAGGAUAGCAGCCCCAACUGUCAGUGAGAGAGGAGGCUAUUCUGGAUAGGACAGGUACUUUUGUGUUGUUCCUGUCCCUAGAAGUGAGGACGGAGAUAAUAGUAACAUAAUAUUCAGUGUGGUGUAAUUUGACUAUAAUGAAGUGUUUCUUGUGAGGUUUUCUGUCCUCAGAUAAAGAGCUCUAUGAAAGCCAGUCUACAUAUGAAGAGCAGUGGUUCUCAGUCCUGGGGACUCAAAAGAGGCACAUUGAGGGUUUUUGCCUCAGCACUGCACAGCUGAAUCAAAUGAUCAACUCAUCAUCAAGCUUCAAGUGAUACCUUGUCACUGGAGAUUUCUUCAAAACAAUUUCCUACAGUUAAUGUGUAGGGCACUGCAAGGUUGGGUCAUCUGGGACUGCCUCCUGAAGAAAUUCAGGUGUGUGUGAAGGCUACCUGUGUCCUGCGCCACUUCAUGAGGAUGGACACGAGGACCAGGAGGGGAUCUGCAGCUCGCCGUUGUGUCCCAGAGGAGAAGUCUGCUGCUCUGCAGGAUGUUUCAAGGAUGGGGUCCAACAACGCAGCAAGAGAGGCAUUCCAUGUGCAGGAGAUCUUCACCUCCUACUUCUUCAAAGAGGGUGCUGUUCCCUGGCAACACCUUAGACUACACUAUGCACAACCAAAGGCUCGUUUAAGAGCCAUUCACAUUGCAAUAAGAGUAUUCUUCCAGUUACUUAGCUAUGUCAACUGCAGUUAUUCAAUUCACAGUUUCUCUCCCUUUGAUUUCUACUUCUCAUGUGAGGGUGCUGUUUAGGUAAAGGUGUGAUGUCUGGGCAAAAAAACAAAACAUGUACAACAAUUAGACACCCUAUAACCCACACCUACACACUCAUGUAUCAAUCUGAUUGAUGGAUUGUGUUGUGCAGGUGUAUAACUGUGGCUUCUUCCACCUUCAAAGAAUAGGCAAGAGGGCCAACCGGGGAGAAUAGUAAGACACUUCAUUAUUUCUAUAACUACGCUAUAUUGUUUGUCAAUUCAUUGUCCGUUUUUCAGCAUAAAGUACUCUGCAGCCACUUAGUGUGGUGUGGACACCAGGUGAGGCCACACACAGAUUCCUGUUGAACACUGUCACUUUAACUACCUUAUUUUCUUAACAGCCUCUCUCCUUCACUUCAUCCCCUUCUCCCUAAAUCCUCUAGGUUUUAUCAGCUGUGUCGGUGAACCCCUCCUGGAUCUGAUCUGGAUACAUUGAUAAUCCUGGUAUUGGAUGUGACUGAAAAAUAAUCUCAAAGACAUUCAUACCUGAACAGCACCUUUAUUUACCAAGUAUUUCUGUCAGCCAUCUUUGCUGAAGAAAGUCCAACAGUCACUAGUGCAGCAGCAGCCCCCCGGUCCUAGUGCCGGCCCAGUAAUGGAACAGCGAUGGAACAGUUCACGAAAAAAAUAAAUCACAGAAAAAAUAUAUUGACUGAUAUUGAUUUAUUUAGGGGCGAUUUUUAAUAUUUUAG